AUGGAUCAGUAGUGGGCUGAGUGAGAGCCAAUGAGAUGCAGACAUUAGAUGAGAGAUGCUGUUAUUAGUCUUUGUUUGUUGUGUGGUUUAGUGUGAAGCAAUGUAAUGGGAGGAUGCUGUAAGAGAAGGAUUUCUCCUCUGAAACAUAAAAGGAGAAUGGCCACUAAAAAAGUAUUUUUGUUGUUGCCAUGGCAGCAAACAGGUAGAGAUUGCAGCAUUGAAAGUCUUCCUCUUCCGCAUCACGAGCAGCACCAGUGGCCAUUGUUUCACGAGGAGUCACCAAAGAAUAACUACAAGCUUUUCACAAACCGCUCAUUACCCUGUUCAACCACACGAUGACCU